CCGUUGGGAUGUCCGGCGGAGAGCAGACGGGCGUUGGCGGUGCCGGCAACCGUGUAGCCGGCGUUCGACACGCUGUUGACGAUC
rnacentral:tRNA from 1 species